rnacentral:rRNA from 1 species
GUGGAUUAGUGGCGAACGGGUGAGUAACACGUGAGCAACCUGCCCCUGACUCUGGGAUAAGCGCUGGAAACGGCGUCUAAUACUGGAUAUGUCCCAUCACCGCAUGGUGUGUGGGUGGAAAGAUUUUUCGGUUGGGGAUGGGCUCGCGGCCUAUCAGCUUGUUGGUGAGGUAAUGGCUCACCAAGGCGUCGACGGGUAGCCGGCCUGAGAGGGUGACCGGCCACACUGGGACUGAGACACGGCCCAGACUCCUACGGGAGGCAGCAGUGGGGAAUAUUGCACAAUGGGCGGAAGCCUGAUGCAGCAACGCCGCGUGAGGGAUGACGGCCUUCGGGUUGUAAACCUCUUUUAGCAGGGAAGAAGCGAAAGUGACGGUACCUGCAGAAAAAGCACCGGCUAACUACGUGCCAGCAGCCGCGGUAAUACGUAGGGUGCAAGCGUUAUCCGGAAUUAUUGGGCGUAAAGAGCUCGUAGGCGGUUUGUCGCGUCUGCUGUGAAAUCCCGAGGCUCAACUUCGGGCUUGCAGUGGGUACGGGCAGACUAGAGUGCGGUAGGGGAGAUUGGAAUUCCUGGUGUAGCGGUGGAAUGCGCAGAUAUCAGGAGGAACACCGAUGGCGAAGGCAGAUCUCUGGGCCGUAACUGACGCUGAGGAGCGAAAGGGUGGGGAGCAAACAGGCUUAGAUACCCUGGUAGUCCACCCCGUAAACGUUGGGAACUAGUUGUGGGGUCCUUUCCACGGAUUCCGUGACGCAGCUAACGCAUUAAGUUCCCCGCCUGGGGAGUACGGCCGCAAGGCUAAAACUCAAAGGAAUUGACGGGGACCCGCACAAGCGGCGGAGCAUGCGGAUUAAUUCGAUGCAACGCGAAGAACCUUACCAAGGCUUGACAUACACGAGAACGGGCCAGAAAUGGUCAACUCUUUGGACACUCGUGAACAGGUGGUGCAUGGUUGUCGUCAGCUCGUGUCGUGAGAUGUUGGGUUAAGUCCCGCAACGAGCGCAACCCUCGUUCUAUGUUGCCAGCACGUAAUGGUGGGAACUCAUGGGAUACUGCCGGGGUCAACUCGGAGGAAGGUGGGGAUGACGUCAAAUCAUCAUGCCCCUUAUGUCUUGGGCUUCACGCAUGCUACAAUGGCCGGUACAAUGGGCUGCGAUACCGUAAGGUGGAGCGAAUCCCAAAAAGCCGGUCCCAGUUCGGAUUGAGGUUUGCAACUCGACCUCAUGAAGUUGGAGUCGCUAGUAAUCGCAGAUCAG